GUGGACUGAGUUUGCCUAACCAAGAGGGAUUGGUAGCAGAAUAACAUUUUGCAUACUUGUAUCCUUUCCUGCAGUGAUAUUAACUUCACCUUCACCCAUUUUUGCUAGUAUUAAAGUUUGGUUGCUGGAACUAGCGACCCACUUUUAUCUAUCCGCAGGGGCUGUCUGUUGGCCUUUCAGCCCCGGUGAUCAUUAUUUAUACUAUGUAUGGCUGGGCAUGGCAUUUGGAGCACCCUGCUCCCACGUGCUUAGUCUGAAGUCCUGCUCCUGUAACUUGUCUGGCAGGACUGCAUCCAUGUGGAUCCAGGAAAUGAAAGAUGAAACAGUGACAUAGCAAGGAGGAAGAAGAAUGCUGAGAAACUGUGAGAGGUGCAGAAAAGAGCCACAAAAUAAUGAAGGGCUGGAAAGAAUGCUCGACAGUGGGAGACUUAAAUUGCUCAAUCUGGGUUUGGUAAAAUCGUCUGCUGAACAAGACCCCACCUCAGCUUCUCUAACACAAGAACCAAAAUUUGGGCCUUUUUUAUUUUUUUGUACAGAUUAAAUACUCCAGUGUAGCAUCCUGUCCAUGUACUCGUUUUAACAGAUGCCCGACUCAUAAAGAAAUUUACAGAUAAAACCUAGGAUGUUUGAAAUAGCCAAUCCUUUUCAACCAUAGCUGUUUUUAAUAAAGUUUAUGCUUUUAUAUA